AAUUCUGGCAAUUCAAAGGGUUUAGGCUCAUCAGAAGUGGUUUCUUCUCUAAUGUCGUAAUGAUCUUGUCUGCGGCAGAAAUCCAAAUGAAGCUCCUUCACGUUGUUCUACUUCCUCUUCCUUCAUCAAUUCCUUUCUUCCUUUGCACAUUCUUUCACUUCCCAGUUUCCAUUGAUACAAAGGUUCCAGCUUUUAUCCAGAAGAGCUCCUCGAACCAAAUGAAUUAAGGUUCAGAAGGUCAAGAAUCCGCAUUUUGCCUCUCUUCUAUUCUCCUUGCAUAACGGCUAUUUUGGAGAUCGGAACUCAGAACAACAAAAAGCAAUUAAUGGAAAACCCAUUGGAUGCAAGCUAGAGAUGGGAUCUUAAAACCCUUUUUUUUUUUUCAUUUUUCUAAUGGUUGUCUCACGUGUCCUCCUUUAAAUACCCCAACUGUCAACUUCGGUUUCGUCUUCGAUUCUUCUCUUUUAAUCUCUCCUGUUUCUGAGCUUUGGAAUUGUGAAAGGAAGCAUGAAGAGUGGCUGAAACUUGAAAGUAGUUGCUGAAUUGAAGAUCUUGAUUGGUGGGUUAACAGAAGUUUGAGGAAUUAAGAGGAGAGGGAAAAGAUUGAUAAGUACGUGCUUGUGAGAGAUAUUGGGUCUGGGAAUUUUGGUGUGGCGACGCUUAUGAGGAAUAAGGAAACCAGAGAACUUGUCGCCAUGAAAUACAUUGAGCGUGGAUACAAGAUCGACGAGAAUGUGGCGAGAGAGAUCAUAAACCACAGAUCCCUUCGACACCCGAACAUAAUCCGAUUCAAGGAGGCAUUUUUUUUUUUUUAAAACCAUGUUCAAAAUCUCUUCGCAUGUUACCUUCAGUUGAUGUACUUAGGGUGAAUAUGCCGCAGGUGGAGAGCUCUUCAUCGAUUAACAAAUCCGAUUUUCAACGAGAUGUAAUAUCUUCCAACGAGAUGAACCACCUUCAAUUGUCAAAA